rnacentral:misc_RNA from 1 species
UCAAAACAAUCAAGGGUAUUUAUUUAGUAAGUGACAUUAUAUUAUUAAUCCACAAUAUUACUUAAGGACAAAAAUUCAAAAGCCAAUUAUUUGUCCAAACAUAAUAUAUAUAAGAUGAAUGACGAAAGAAAUUAAAAAGAAAACAUUGAAAAUAAAGAAGACAAAGUUUACCUUCUUUGGACCACACCCGAAGGCUGCUUACAUUCCUCAUAUGGAGGAUCAGGUCCACGUAGCUCUUAAAUCUACUAAAAAUUCAGCAUAGUUUCCUUUGAAAAUUGGAUAUUUCUCCUUACUAAAACAAAAAUCGGAUAAACUCAACAAUAAACACAAAUACCCCUUUGGAACCUUUAGCAUGCGUAUUUCCUUCAAUCACCCACAAUUUCACAAUGUACAUUACCAUUAGAUAAUUCCAUAAAUGAAAUAUAAUCAGCCAUUUUAUUUCAUCCAUAUCUCAAACCCCACCUUUCCAUACUAAUUUUCAGAACAAUUAUUUUAACUACCCAGGUUUGAUACUCAAUCAAAACCAUAAUUCUUAACAUACCUAUGAACUCAAAGUUCUG